rnacentral:rRNA from 1 species
AGCGAUCUGGAAUGUAAAACCAAGUAUAACAAAGGGGCUACUAGGGAUGACUAGGCAAUGGAUCGGAAUGAGGUCUAAUCCAAACUGUCGAAUCCGAUCAAGGGUAUGUUAAUCAACCCGGUCUCGACGAUCAAGGCCAAAAGGUGCCUCACUUACCUUGGGAACUGAAACAUCUUAUGUACCAAGAGGAAAGGAAAUCAACCGAGACUCUACAAGUAGUGGCGAGCGAACGUAGACAAGCUAUCUCUAUCAACUUAGACAACCUCUAUGGUCGAUUAUGAUUCGUAGCAGGAAAAUGGUAGCCUUCGGACAAAGACAUAAACAAUAGCUUGGAAUAGCUAGCCACAGAUGGUGAUAGCCCAGUGAUGAUAUGACUUUGCUCCCUUUUGGCAGUGAAUUUAAUUCCUUAGAGAGAAUUGGCGGCUUGUCAAGCUGCUUUUAUAAUACCCUGUCUAUUAAGGCAGGAAAGGUGUACCAUCAUCAAAGCUAAGUAUGUUCCAUUGACCGAUAGUGCAGAGUACCGUGAGGGAAUGUUGAAAAAGCAGGUAGUAAACUGGUGAAAAGCCUGAACUAGUGGCUCCAUAAGCAGCUGGAAUCACAACAGCCAUUGACUCCAACUCAAUGUGUGAUGACAGCGUACCUUUUGUAUAAUGGGUUACCAACCAUCAGACCCGAACCCAGGUGAUCUUGCCAUGGCCAAGUGCUAUUUAAUAAGACUGAACGGGUGUCCGUUGCAAGGGACUCCGAAGAGCUGUGGCAAGGGGUGAAAAGCCAAUCUAACCUGGAGAUAGCUGGUCUUCUGCGAAACCCGUUUUAGCGGGUCGCCCAUUUAUUGAAAUUAAAUUCGUUACUAGACGGUACGGCACUGGAAGCCACGCAGCUUUUGCUGCAUAAUCGGGGGGCUGUCAUGGCUCUAUCGAUGGCUUCUAACCCCGGAAAUGUAUAGUAUACAAUGAUGGGCAAUCAGACGUAUCGUGAUAAGGCGAUUCGUCAAAAGGGCAACAGCCCAGAACAGGUGUGAAGGUCCCUAACAAGCUACUGAGUGAACACAAGGCAGUCCUCUCCAGUGUCUCUCCACAAAGUGGGCUUGGAAGCAGCCACCUUUUAGCGAUAGCGUAACAGCUCAGUGGUCUGAGCCUCCCUGUAAAAAGGGAAUAUUGCCUGGUGAGGGCGCCAAAAAUGUAACGGGUCUAUAGUAGUUGUCUCUCUGUUCCAGCUUUGGAUAUGGAGGGAGUGGCAGUUUCUUCACUGUCUCACCGAAACCCUGUCCUAGAUGUAAAAUUCUAGGGGUAGCAGAAUACCCAGCAAAUGGAAUGAAGCUUGCUCAUUGAGCCGGUGGACAUAGCUGGGCUAAGAAUGCUGACAUGAGUAGCCUAAAAGGAGGGUAAUUCCCUCUUCGCCGAAAGCAGAAGGGUUUCAUUUGUAAGGUCUAUACCUAGAUGAUUAAAGCAGCGGCCUCUAAGGUUCAGAGUAACAAAUUAGUUCCGAUGAGUAACUCUUCUAUAGGGCAGUAACCUUCCUUAUAAGUUUACCUUCAAGUAAUUAGAGGUAUACUUCAAAGAGUAAGGUUCGGGAAAGAGCCCUACAGAAUAAAUCUUAAAACCGUACCCUAAACCGACACAGGUCUGCAAGUAGAGCAUACUAAGGCGUAGAGAUAAUCGUCUUGAAGGAACUCGGCAAAAUGACCCCGUAACUUCGGGAGAAGGGGUGCCACUAAUAAGUGGCGGCACUAAACAGGGGGGCGCGACUGUUUACUUAAAACACCGGACUCUGCUAACACUAGCGUGGAUGUAUAGAGUCUGAUACCUGCCCGAUGCUAGAUGAUCAACUAAGCCGUUAUAUGAUGGCAAAGGAAGCUCUAGUCAAUGGCGGCUGUAACCUUGACGGUCCUAAGGUAGCGAAAUUCCUUGGCAUUUAAAUGAUGUCCCGCAUGAAAGGUUUAACGAAGCUCCCACUGUCUCCAAGACGAGCUCGGCGAAAUUGAAUUAUCCGUGAAGAUGCGGAUUACCUCCAGCUAGACGAGAAGACCCUUUGAAGCUUGACUGCAACUAGUUAGUGUGUAACCGCUACUAAGGUACAAAGGGAGUCGACUAGACGAGAUACCUUGAUCUUUGUAGUAGGUUUCACUAUAAAUGCUGGCUAGUAGGCAGUUUGUCUGGGGCGGCAAUCCUCACCUAAAGUAACUGAGGAGUCCGAAGGUGUGCUUUGCUAGGUUGGAAACCUCUCUAUGGCUAUGGUGAGCCUAAAUAAGCGCAAUGGUAUAAGCAUGCUUGACUGUGAGACCUACAAGUCUAUCAGGUAAAACCCUUUCUAUUUACCCCUUCAUAAAUCAGGUCUCUCACGGCUAAAGUUAACCUUACCUUCUUUCUUAUUUCAUCACUUGUUAGCCUUGGUUCACAGUGCAGCGCACUUGUGGAACAAGUUUGUUUUGUUUAAAGUAGUAAAGGAAUGGAAGAAGGGGUAAUUAGGUAUAAAGGGUAUAGGUAACUAGGGCAUAGUGACCCGGUGAUACAUCAUGGAAUGUUCAUCGAUCAACGGAUAAAAGCUACUCAAGGGAUAACAGGCUGAUCCUCCACGAGAGUCCAUAUUGACUGGGGGGGUUGGCACCUCGAUGUCGGCUCAUCCUAUCCUAGAGCAGUAUAAGGUUCUAAGGGUUCGGCUGUUCGCCGAGUAAAAGGGUACGUGAGCUGGGUUAAGUACGACGCGAGUCAGUACGGCUUCUAUCUACUGGAGGGAGUUGGAAGUAAGGAGGAAGCUAUUUUUAGUACGCGAGGACUUAAAUGGAGUGACCUCUGGUUUACCAGUUAUCAACAGCUAAUAAAGCUAUGGUAUGGCUGGAAAGCUACGUCACGAAUAGAUAACUGCUGAAACCAUAUCAAGCAGGAAACUACUCCUCUAUACUUCCUUUGAAACUUAGGGUAGACCACCCUAUUGAUAGGGCCUGGGUGUAAUAGCAGCAAUGCUUUUAGCCUCGGGUUACUAAUUGUUAAGCAACUUGGUUUUACCAGAUCGUU